rnacentral:rRNA from 1 species
AUUGAACGCUGGCGGCAGGCCUAACACAUGCAAGUCGGACGGUAACAGGGAUCAGCUUGCUGAUUCGCUGACGAGUGGCGGACGGGUGAGUAAUGUCUGGGAAACUGCCUGAUGGAGGGGGAUAACUACUGGAAACGGUAGCUAAUACCGCAUAACGUCGCAAGACCAAAGAGGGGGACCUUCGGGCCUCUUGCCAUCGGAUGUGCCCAGAUGGGAUUAGCUAGUAGGUGGGGUAACGGCUCACCUAGGCGACGAUCCCUAGCUGGUCUGAGAGGAUGACCAGCCACACUGGAACUGAGACACGGUCCAGACUCCUACGGGAGGCAGCAGUGGGGAAUAUUGCACAAUGGGCGCAAGCCUGAUGCAGCCAUGCCGCGUGUAUGAAGAAGGCCUUCGGGUUGUAAAGUACUUUCAGCGGGGAGGAAGGGAGUAAAGUUAAUACCUUUGCUCAUUGACGUUACCCGCAGAAGAAGCACCGGCUAACUCCGUG